UACGAAGGGGGCUAGCGUUGUUCGGAUUUACUGGGCGUAAAGGGCGCGCAGGCGGCUCAUUUUGUCAGGCGUGAAAGCCCCGGGCUUAACCUGGGAACUGCGUUUGAUACGGAUGGGCUAGAGUUCGGGAGAGGAGAGUGGAAUUCCCAGUGUAGAGGUGAAAUUCGUAGAUAUUGGGAAGAACACCGGUGGCGAAGGCGGCUCUCUGGACCGAUACUGACGCUGAGGCGCGAAAGCGUGGGGAGCAAACAGG
rnacentral:rRNA from 1 species